rnacentral:rRNA from 1 species
GACGAACGCUGGCGGCGUGCUUAACACAUGCAAGUCGAACGGAAAGGCCCUGCUUUUGUGGGGUGCUCGAGUGGCGAACGGGUGAGUAACACGUGAGUAACCUGCCCUUGACUUUGGGAUAACUUCAGGAAACUGGGGCUAAUACCGGAUAGGAGCUCCUGCUGCAUGGUGGGGGUUGGAAAGUUUCGGCGGUUGGGGAUGGACUCGCGGCUUAUCAGCUUGUUGGUGGGGUAGUGGCUUACCAAGGCUUUGAAGGGUAGCCGGCCUGAGAGGGUGACCGGCCACAUUGGGACUGAGAUACGGCGCAGACUGCUACGGGAGGCAGCAGUGGGGAAUAUGGCACAAUGGGCGGAAGCCUGAUGCAGCAACGCCGGGUGCGGGAUGACGGCCUUCGGGUUGUAAACCGCUUUCGCCUGUGACGAAGCGUGAGUGACGGUAAUGGGUAAAGAAGCACCGGCUAACUACGUG